rnacentral:rRNA from 1 species
AAAAUCCGGGGGAAUUAGAUGAGGCGUGAUAAUGAGUCUGUUUGCAGACGAAGUGAGUGAUACCCUGCUUCCAAGAAAAGCCACUAAGCUUCAGCUACACACGACCGUACCGCAAACCGACACUGGUGCGCGAGAUGAGUAUUCUAAGGCGCUUGAGAGAACUCUGGAGAAGGAACUCGGCAAAUUGACACCGUAAUUUCGGAAGAAGGUGUGCCUUUAGUAGGUGAACCAUUUAUUUGGGGAGCCCAAUGAGGCCGCAGAGAAUCGGUGGCUGCAACUGUUUAUUAAAAAUACAGCACUCUGCAAAGACGAAAGCCGACGUAUAGGGUGUGACUCCUGCCCGGUGCUGGAAGAUUAAAUGAUGGGGUGUAAGCUCUUGAUUGAAGUCCCAGUAAACGGCGGCCGUAAUAAUAACGGUCCUAAGGUAGUGAAAUUCCUUGUCGGGUAAGUUCCGACCUGCACGAAUGGAGUAAUGAUGGCCACACUGUCUCCUCCAGAGACUCAGCGAAGUUGAAAUGUUUGUGAUGAUGCAAUCUCCCCGCGGAAAGACGGAAAGACCCCAUGAACCUUUACUGUAGCUUUACAUUUGACUUUGAACAGAUCUGUGUAGGAUAGGUGGGAGGCUUUGAAACCAGGACGUUAGUUUUGGUGGAGCCAACGUUGAAAUACCACCCUGGUGUGUUUGAGGUUCUAACCUUGGCCCGUUAUCCGGGUCGGGGACAGUGUAUGGUGGGCAGUUUGACUGGGGCGGUCUCCUCCCAAAGUGUAACGGAGGAGUUCGAAGGUACGCUAAAUACGGUCGGAAAUCGUGUUGAUAGUGCAUUGGCAUAAGCGUGCUUGACUGCGAGACUGACAAGUCGAGCAGGUACGAAAGUAGGACAAAGUGAUCCGGUGGUUCUGUAUGGAAGGGCCAUCGCUCAACGGAUAAAAGGUACUCUGGGGAUAACAGGCUGAUACCGCCCAAGAGUUCAUAUCGACGGCGGUGUUUGGCACCUCGAUGUCGGCUCAUCUCAUCCUGGGGCUGUAGCCGGUCCCAAGGGUAUGGCUGUUCGCCAUUUAAAGAGGUACGUGAGCUGGGUUUAAAACGUCGUGAGACAGUUUGGUCCCUAUCUUCCGUGGGCGCUGCAAGAUUGAGAGAGCCUGCUCCUAGUACGAGAGGACCGGAGUGGACGCACCUCUGGUGUAUCGGUUGUCACGCCAGUGGCAUUGCCGAGUAGCUAAGUGCGGAAGAGAUAACCGCUGAAAGUAUCUAAGCGGGAAACUCGUCUCAAGAUGAGUCUUGCCGGGGCCUUGAGCCCCCUGAAGAGUCGUUCGAGACCAGGACGUUGAUAGGCUGGGUGUGGAAGCGCAGUAAUGCGUUAAGCUAACCAGUACUAAUUGCUCGUGAGGCUUGACCCU